AGACGGAUGAGAGGAAGUGGGGGUGUCAGAGCCGGCUGAGAUCCUGACCCUGAUAAAAUACCUGCUUCUACGAAGCUUCUGAAGAUCACAGGAGCCUCCUGCCUUUCUGUUUCUUAGGUGCAGGACUCUCUCUUUUUAGAGCCAAUGGUCCUUUCCAUCAAGGACCCACCAAGGAUGGAGAAGGACAGAGACCACAUGGCUGCAAGGAUAUUAGACCUCACCCUGGAGAUCAUCUCCUUGAUAACUGGAGAGGAUUACACAGUAGUGAAGAAGUCGUCUGGUGAGUGUGUGACACCCCGUGUGUCAGGAGGA